GCGGGAGUUGCCCAGACUGGCCAAUUGGAUGGUCGAAUCCACCCGUCCAUCCAAGGCUCGAGGCGCGGGGCUUAGAUCCCCGUCUCGCAGGAGUCCGAGGGUUCAAAUCCCUCCUCCCGCA
rnacentral:tRNA from 1 species